rnacentral:rRNA from 1 species
CCUACGGGGGGCAGCAGUAGGGAAUAUUGCUCAAUGGGGAAACCCUGAAGCAACAACGCCGCGUGGCGGAUGAAGGUUUUCGUAUUGUAAACUCCUUUUGUUAGAGAAGAUAAUGCCCGUCUCUUACGAAUAAUCACCGGCUAACUCCGUGCCAGCAGCCGCUGUAAUACGGAGGGUGCCAGCGUUACUCGGAAUCACUUGGCGUAAAGAGCGCGUAGGCGGGAUAGCAAGUCAGAUGUGAAAUCCUAUGGCUUAACCAUAGAACUGCAUUUGAAACUGUUAUUCUUGAGUAUGGGAGAGGUAGGUGGAAUUCUUGGUGUAGGGGUAAAAUCCGUAGAGAUCAAGAGGAAUACUCAUUGCGAAGGCGACCUGCUAGAACAUAACUGACGCUGAUGCGCGAAAGCGUGGGGAGCAAACAGGAUUAGAUACCCGGGUAGUC